GGGGAUUUAGCUCAGUGGUAUAAGCACCUGCCUGGCAAGCGUGAGGUUGUGAGUUCAAUUCCCAAUACCCC
rnacentral:tRNA from 1 species